rnacentral:tRNA from 1 species
CUUGAUAGUAAGGGGUUCUCCCCUGUUUGCGGGUUUACAACCCGCCGCCUGACCCUCGGCCAUACUACC